AUGGCGGACGUGAAGCUUCUCAACUGCUUCGUCAGUCCGUUCGGAAACAGGGUGCGCAUCGCGCUGGCGAAGAAGGGCGUCGAGUACGAGGAGACGGCCGAGAACAUGCUCACCAAGGGCCCGCUGCUGCUGUCGUCCAACCCCGUCCACGCCAAGGUCCCCGUCCUCCUUGUCGACGGCAAGGCCGUCUGCGAGUCCCUGGUCAUCCUCGAGUUCAUCGACGAGGCGUUCCCCGGCGCGCAGCUCCUCCCCGCCGACGCCUACGCGCGCGCCAACGCCCGCUUCUGGGCCGCCUACGUGGACACCAAGAUGCCGGAGUGCGCCGGGAAGAUCUGGAAGGUGCCGAAGGGCGCGCCGGCCGUGGAGGAGGGGAAGAAGGAGAUGGUGGGCGUGUUCAAGACGCUGGAGGGUGAGCUCGGCGAGAAGCCCUACUUCGGCGGCGACGCGCUCGGGUACGCGGACGUGGCGCUGGUGACCUUCACCCCGUGGUUCCUGACGUACGAGCGGCUCGGCGGGUUCAGCAUCGCGGAGGAGUGCCCCAAGCUGACGGCCUGGGCGGCGCGGUGCAUCGGGGAGAACGAGUGCGUGGCCAAGUCGCUGCCGGACGCCGAGGCUGUGUACCAGUUCGUGGGCGGCAUGAGGAAGCACUUUGGCCUCGAGUAG
rnacentral:rRNA from 1 species